UAGGAAGUGGUGUAGUGGGAGCACUAAGAGUUUUGAUCUCUUCAGGGGGGGUUCGAGUCCCCUCUUUCUAA
rnacentral:tRNA from 1 species